UACGGGGGGGGCAAGCGUUGUUCGGAAUUACUGGGCGUAAAGGGCCAGUAGGCGGCCAACUAAGUCCGACGUGAAAUCCCAAGGCUUAACCUUGGAACUGCGUCGGAUACCGGAUGGCUUGAAUUCGGGAGAGGGAUGCAGAAUUCCAGGUGUAGCGGUGAAAUGCGUAGAUAUCUGGAGGAAUACCGGUGGCGAAGGCGGCAUCCUGGACCGACAUUGACGCUGAACGGCGAAAGCUAGGGGAGCAAACGGG
rnacentral:rRNA from 1 species